CAGCACUUAACACGCGCGAAAAUUGAGUUAGCUAGCUUACCGCACCUUUCCAGAUAGACAUUAGAAGAUGGUUUUCUCCUGAUAAGUUGUGGCCGAAGCAAGUGCCAGAAGUGAGGAAAUUCAGCCAAGUUCUGCCUCACCGGCUGGCGCUGGGCAGGUGCAACCCGUCAGGCCCCUCCUCCGUCCCCGCAGGAUACGUCGUGUGAUCUGCCAGAAGUGCUGCCUGCCACUGCUGGCCCCGGAUGAGUCUGGGACUGAUAAAUCAAACCAAGUCUAUUUACAGUGCUACCCACUCCUUUUAUACAAAGGUAAAAUGCGCGUAUUUGUGAGCGCACGGUAUGAGGAUAGAAACAGUUCAAGGCUGCACAAGUUAAUUGUUUCCUCUGCCAUCAUCAAUGGAACCACCCUAAUUAUUCAGAAAGGCUCUAAAUCACGGUGCCUCCUCUGUCAUGUUAAACAAUGUUUUCACAUUGAAGACCUUUUUCACCGAACAUUGACGUGCCAUACUGCUCACUGGGAAGGUGCAGCUAGCGGCCUAAAUGAGGGCCUAGCUGGCCUUGGAAAGAAACCUUUAACGUUACACUAAGUGCACUAAUGACUGGAAGGAUAUUUAUCCCGAGACUGUUCUACACCGACACCCGCAUCCUUCAGUUAUGCUAAUGUCUGCACGUCACACUGCUGAAUACAGGACAGGGCAGUCUGCCAGCUCCAACUCCAAAGUCCUGAUUUUCUUUAUCCGGAGCCCUCUGACUGUGCUGGGGAUUAAUCUCCCAUUGCACAUCUCCAUCUGCAGCCUGGAUCAUCAGCCAUCCCUCUCUGCAUUAGCCCCCAGCUGUGCAACUGUCUGCCCAACCCAGGUCUAGCACACUGUAUAGGGGCAAACUUGGGAAAGGAGUGGGAGAAGAGAGGGAGAGUAAGGAGAAAAGUGAUGGAAAGAUGGAGUUGUGUGUGUGUGGGGGGAAGAGCAGCGAUAAAUCUUAAUAUUUCACAUCAGUUUUAUUUUGCAGAGCUGAUUUGAGCCUCAUUUUCUCUCAAAUGGCCUUCUCUACCGAGAUCUGAUUGAUACUAAUAGCUUCUACAGCGGUUACAUCUAGGGAGGGUAAGAGUCUUUUUUUAUUGGUGCAGACAGUUGUUAGUGUGGCACCAAGUAAGAUUGUAAAUUUGGCUCUUUCAUGUAAUGUGACUCUGGAGGGUGGUUAGGCUGAGAGCUUUUGAUACACCGCCGCUGUCCAUCUCCACUUUCCCUGUGUCCAAUACUAAUGAGAUAAGUAAUUUCUUAUAUCUCACAAAUAGACACAAAAUCUAGAUAAUUUUGCUCGUAUGGCAAGCAUUAUUUAUGGAAGUAUUUACUUGAUGAGGUGGCCAAGAAAGGACUUUAUUGUUUGAAAAUGCAUUAAAAUAUAGUCAUUUUGUCGUUCUCGUAAAUUAUGCGGCAUAUUUUUGCAAUAAUAUGUGAGUGUAGGUUUGGUACAUAGGUGUAGGUCUAGACUUAGUUUUCAAGUGUGAUCUGCAACCAAACAGCAUACCUAAAAUGAGCAAUGCAGUAUGACAGCAGUCAGUCACAGAGACCCAUGGGUUUAUAACUCUCCCAGGCUUUGGAUUGGAAACUGUCCCGCCAACUAACUAGCCAAGUAUUUGGCCGCCUCAUAGUCCAGGCGAUUUAACGGGCCCUGGGCUCCAGCAUGCAAGAUAUGGUUGAUCCAAUUCAGGCCAUACUCAAUCAACCUAAUUCUACAGGGGGACACAGAGACUGGGUACUGCAGUGUGUGCAAGAAUGGAUUGCUCAACAAAGCAGCUUUUAAAGGUCAUGUUUUCACUGACUCCGUGCCUACAAGAUCCUUAUGGAGGGCACCGUUUGCAAACAGUGUAUGUAAAUUCAUCACAAACCUGCAACUCAACAGUGAUUUAUGCUGUGAACCUGAGGGGCCUCGGUUUAAACUCAAAAUGGGAGUGCAAAAUGCUGCAUGGAAUCUCGACGGUCCUGUUUGUAGUAUCUGUACUCUAAGAAGUUGAGAGGUCUCUUCAAAUGACACUGACAUUACAAGUAUCUGAAAUGUUUUCGAGAAAAUUACUACAACUUGCAAACUCUUUUUUGUUGUAGAUACGAAGUAAUUACUUGCUAACACUGUAACAUGUCACAAAUGUAUGCAGGUGUGCACGUCAACAAGGUUUUUCUACUCCUUUUCAAUUCCCUCAUCUUUCUCAUGGGGUCACGGUGUCACGCUUUUCUACCAUACAAUGAGACAAUUAAAUUGUUGCAUUGUAGAACUUUCCAGCAAGUGUCACUAUUUGUUUUGCGUAUGUAUAUUACAAGUGAUAGAUGUUAUCAUUAUGUUCUGGGGUAUUUGAAGAAAUAAGUGUGUAUAUUUACCAUCUUAUUCUAAAUGUAGGCACAUUUAUGUUAUAUUUCAUAUAUGUUAUAAUCUUACUAGGUUACAGAUAUGUUUUAUUAUCGUUCCUAGUCACCAGAUUGUCUAUCUGUAUAUGCGAAGUUAGUCAGUGCAGAAGCGCCACCUAGGUUAAUUUUUCAUUCUGUUGUUGAUGAUUGGUACGCUUGCCGGUGAGUGUCUAUAAACUGGCAUUGCUAGUAAUUCAGAUUAAGAAUUAAUGUCUCAUGAUUGUGUAAUUUCAUUAGUUAAUUCUGAUGUUUGUUUUGUGUUUUCAUUGCAGGUUUACAACCUAGCAACUUAAUUGAGUAGUUAAUUGACGAGCUAAAUGUUACACAUAACUAGCUUGUGGAUGCUUAUUGUGUAUGUGUGCACAAUAAAACUCAAAAAGUG